AGAGUUUGAUCAUGGCUCAGGAUCAACGCUGGCGGCGUGCCUAAUGCAUGCAAGUCGAACGCUCGGGCCUUCGGGUUCGGGAGUGGCGAACGGCUGAGGAACACGUGCGUACCUACCUCCUUGCGGGGAAUACCGGCUGGAAACAGCCGACAAUACCGCAUACGCUUGGCGUCAAGCCAAGGAAACCUUCGGGGCGGGGAGCGGGGCGCGCGGCCCAUCAGGUUGAUGGCGGGGUAACGGCCCACCAUGCCGAUGACGGGUCGCUGGUCUGUGAGGACGGCCAGCCAGACUGGGACUGCGACACGGCCCAGACACCUACGGGUGGCAGCAGUGGGGAAUAUUGCGCAAUGGGCGAAAGCCUGACGCAGCGACGCCGCGUGGGGGAUGACGGCCUUCGGGUUGUAAACCUCUUUCAGCAGGGACGAAGCGGAAGUGACGGUACCUGCAGAAGAAGCACCGGCCAACUACGUGCCAGCAGCCGCGGUAAUACGUAGGGUGCAAGCGUUGUCCGGAAUUAUUGGGCGUAAAGAGCUCGUAGGCGGUCUGUCACGUCGGCUGUGAAAUCCCGAGGCUCAACCUCGGGUCUGCAGUCGAUACGGGCAAACUAGAGUGUUGCAGGGGAGACUGGAAUUCCUGGUGUAGCGGUGAAAUGCGCAGAUAUCAGGAGGAACACCGGUGGCGAAGGCGGGUCUCUGGGCAACAACUGACGCUGAGGAGCGAAAGCGUGGGGAGCGAACAGGAUUAGAUACCCCCGUAGUCC
rnacentral:rRNA from 1 species